GUAGGUAAACAUUUUUUUAUUUUUUUUUAAUAUUUUACACAAGUAUACAAGGAAAGGAGCUGCUUAACCAAAAAUGUCUGGAAUGUUCACUGUUUGACUGAAAUUGUCAAUAAAAUGUUUUGGGAAAGGCAUGGAAAUUACAGGCAGGUAUAGGAAAGCAAGAACCAGGUUAAUUGUUCUUAUCAAUUUAAAAUGUGUAUAUAGGUGUAGCAUUAAUCAGAGGUAGUUUACUGAAAAUCACCUGUACAGAAAUUCCUAUAAAUCUAUCACCAGAAACAUAUUCAUAGGAGCCAGAAUACCCCCCUUUUUUCCACACACA
rnacentral:lncRNA from 1 species